UAAAGAAAACACAAAAAUCAAAUGAAUAAUCUUGUACAUUUUCUUGUAAUAUAACUACUUCUUUCUCUGAGGUUCAUCUUCAAAAGCAUGUAGCGAAGUACUGAGUACUAUUGAAAAGCAAAACCUCAUUUUCAGCACUAGUGAGAAGAUUCUGUAUCUCUACUAUUCAAUGCCAGUCACACUGGGUUACUGAGCACCUGAAAUAGCUAGUGUAAUGGAAGAACUGAGUUUUUAAUUUUGAUUAGUGUUAAUUUUAGUAGUCACAUGUAACUUUCAAAACAGAGCAGUUAGAAUACUGACCUAAAGUUUUUUAAUUAUAGACAUACUGAUGUGCAAAAAAAUUCCAUUAAAUGCUUAUACAUAAAAAAAAUUAAUGUCCUUAUUUCACUCAGAUGAAGAGUAACUAGGGAUGAAACAAUAUGUUCAAGAUACUCUCUGAAACACUUCUGCCAAGAAAGAAGGGUGUUAGAAAGGCAAGUGUGGGAAAGGCAAGUGUAACACAAAAUCUGUGCAAGCUCAGGACCUAGGUGAUAACACUGGCUUAUUUACUUUAAACAUACUCAAUAGUUUUCAUAGUAAAAACUGGGUAUAAACCUCAAUAAAACAACCUAAAAGCUGU